rnacentral:lncRNA from 1 species
CAGAGUUGUGCGCCUGCAUUCCAAACCCUGCUAAGUCAUGCUGCACCAGGCAGCCACCUCAGACUACUACUGAGUAAAGCACAGCCAUUUCCUUCACAGUGCUGGAGGAAGGGAGGUGCAGCUUUGGCUCAGCUCUUAACAGUGCAACAUCUAGUGCCUCUAUAGUUCUCUUGGACACAGAUGGCUGCUUUCGAAGAAGAAAGAAGUGGAAAGUGAUGGAGUUUCUAUGCUCCAGCUCUCUUUGCCUGCUGCCAUCCACGUAAGAUGUGACUUGCUCCUCUUUGCCUUCUGCCAUAAUUGUGAGCCCCCCUCAGCCAUGUGGAAUGAUGGAAAACAGAACAAGCCAUGGAGGCCCCAGGGAUCAGGCAGGGCCAAGAGGAUCUGAUGGCGGAAGGGGGAGCACAUCAACAAGACCUUACAAGGCAACUUGCAUGGAUGCUCUGAAGCAACUUUGAGGUCUCCUUGAUGAGGAAAGUUGGCUCAACCUGCUGUAGAGUAGGCCCACAGCCAAGCCAUUGAGAGACAAGUCCAUGGGAGACAAAUUAGCUCAUGCAGCUGAGAUGUCCUGGAGAUUUUCCACAGCACCACUUGGCCAGUGCCUAGACAAGUAACUACCUUGAUAAUCACUAUAUAUUUUCCAAGAGAAAUAAAA